CGGCCGCGGUAUUUUGACCGUGCAAAGGUAGCGCAAUCACUUGUCUUUUAAAUAGAGACCUGUAUGAAUGGCUAAACGAGGGCUUAACUGUCUCCCCCUUCAAGCAGUGAAAUUGAUCUAUCCGUGCAGAAGCGGGUAUAACUAUACAAGACGAGAAGACCCUUUGGAGCUUAAGGUACAAAAUUCAACCACGUUAAGCAAAUUAAUAAAAAGCAAAAACUUAGUGGAACCUGAAAUUUUACCUUCGGUUGGGGCGACCGCGGAGGAAAAACAAGCCUCCGAGUGGAAUGGGCCAAACCCCUAAAACCAAGAGAAACAUCUCUAAGCCACAGAACAUCUGACCAAAAAUGAUCCGGCUGACAAGUCGAUCAACGAACCAAGUUACCCUAGGGAUAACAGCGCAAUCCUCUCCCAGAGUCCAUAUCGACGAGGGGGUUUACGACCUCGAUGUUGGAUCAGGACAUCCUAAUGGUGCAGCCGCUAUUAAGGGUU
rnacentral:rRNA from 1 species